rnacentral:ncRNA from 1 species
CUUUUCAGGGCAGGGUGUAAUUCCCGAUCGGCGGUACAGUCCGCAAGGCCACUUUGGGUCAUGAACCGGUGCAACUCCGGUACCGACAGUGAUAGUCUGGAUGGAAGAACG